rnacentral:lncRNA from 1 species
CUCGCCUCCCCUGCGCCGCGCGGCGUCCGGGGAGUGGAAACGCCCGGGCGGGCUGACUCAGGGACAAGACCAGAGUGCAAACUCUUCAAGACAAGGGAAGAAUGACCCUGAAGGCAAUUCAGAGAUCAUCAAGGCUAUCUCCUUGCUUUCAAAAGUCGGGAGCAUUGCCUUGCAUUCAGCAGGUUAGAGGGCCUCUGUCCAAAGCCAUGGAGGAAGAGCUGCCCAGAGCUGUUGGUGUGGGGCUACCCAGAGCCCUGGGAACAUGACUUCUGCGGGAUAGAGCUGGAGGGACAGGACCACCACCCCAGAGGGUACAGAGGGUGGGACCACCACCAUUGUGGAUCUGGAAGGCUGCCUCAGUGGGCCUGGAAGCAGAGCAUUUAAUGAACUAAAAAUGAUUUUUCUUGAGCCUUAAGAUCUCAUGGAGUUUGCCUUGUAGUUUGGAUGUAAUUUGGAUCUGCUAUUCCUUUCUUCUUUCCUAUUUCUCCCUUUUGGAAUGGUCUAUCCUAUGCCUGUCUCACCAUUGUAUUUUGGAAGCAGAUAACUUGCUUGAUUUCACAGGCUCACCGCUGGAGAACAAUUUGCCCCAGGAUGCAUCACACCUUGAGUCUCAGCCAUAUCUGACUUAGAUGACACUUAGAUAAUAAAACUUUGGAUUUUAGACUUCAGAGUUAAUGCUGGAAUGAGUUAAGGCUUUUGGGGCUGUUGGAAUGUAAGGAAUGAAUGUAUUUUGCAUGUGAGAAGGAUGUGAAUUUGGCGGGGGAUGGG